rnacentral:lncRNA from 1 species
GGUUGGUGAUCUUGAAAAAUUAACUAAAUUUAUUUGUGGGUCUGGAUAAAAUAAACAUACUGUAAUCAGAGAGAUUAUAGUAAAAUUUUUAAGAGGAGCUUGAGGAGUAGACAUAGGUGUGGGGUUGCAUUGAAUCACUAUAAAUUUUUAUGUGUUUGUAUUGUGCCCUUUCAUAUUUGCUUUAUUUACUUUUAAUUUUUAAUUUUUAUUAUUUUAAUACUUGUAUAGUUUCUCUUAUAUCUUGAUUCCACUACUAUAC